CAGAAGAAGAUGGUGAGGCAGAAGAGCAGUCCUGGCAUGGCAGGUGGGUCAGACUCCUCUCUCGUAGGUAGUUCCUCCUCAUCUUGGCUGGCCCGUGUUCCAGUUACUAGACCCACGUCCUCAACUUUCCUCUUUCCCCAGGUGGGCCCACCCAGCACCAUGGCUUUCAGUAUCAGCUCCAUGCCAAGAGGCUUCAGCUUUGCCCCCCUCCCGACUCUCUCAUUGCCAACGCGACUGUGGGACUUGAUGUCACAUGGGCGUCCCAAACCUGCCCCAGCCUCCACCCCCGACUAUACUACACUACUGUCACUGCAAGUCAAAAGUCAGAAAAUACUCUUCCCCAUCACCCUGCACCACAUCUGUUAGAAAGUCUCCAUCUUCGGCUCCAAAAUCAACUUCAGCCCACCUUCUCGGCACUACCACCCACCCCAACCUCCAUCCAAGCCCACGUCACCUAAGUGGUGGUGGCUGGUGCCCAGCCUACCUCUGUGCCUCCUGCAGCCCGCCCAUCACACACAGACUGCGAUCAAGGUCAAGUCCUUCCUCGAUCCAAUCUCCCACUGUUGCAGGAAGGGGGAUCCCCUUCCAAGGCCCAGCAGUAGGCUCUUAUCUGACUCUUGGAAGUGACUCGACAGAGGAGACACACAUGCUGGCAGAGCAGAAGCCUUUGUUGGGAAGGACCACACCCCCAACCCCGGCUGCAGAGCAGCAGGCUAAGGGAGCCCAGGAGAACUGCUCUGCCACGCGGUUCGCAGUCCCAGGCUUUCUCGGAAUAGGGUUAGUUUUGGGGUCGUCUCUGGCCAAUCAUUUUGCUUGGCCCAUAGUCUGACUCUGGGUCCCGCUUGGUGGCAUCUGUAUCUCUCAACCAAGAUGCUGAAGGAUUGAAGGAUCCACUCAACCAGAGUGAAGGAUUCUGGGAGGCUGGUCUUCUCCUCCCACUUUUGGCCCCUCUCCUGAAUCCUCCUGGUUAUUUUUCAGUGGCAGCACCGUGUUCCUUAUUGAGACCUCCUGUUGUGAGACUCCUGAGUCAAGUGGUCAUCAUGUGCCUGGCCAAGGCAGGUGGUUCGGUCUCAGACCCUAGAAGGGGUCCUCCUUCCUGCAACAAAUGACUGGUAGGAUCUCUUCUUUGCUAUGACUGACAUCCUGACCAUCAGGGAUCAGCUUGCCUGCUGAUGGACUGGACCCAGCAGCCAGCGCUUGGACCCUUUAAAUGUCCCUGGUCUCCUCCUGAUGUGGACUGGCCAGAACUUCCUGACUAGCUUAAUUUUUAGUAAUCUGUUUUUGGAUGAAGAUUGGACACUCCGUGAUCUACAACAGGAAGUUAACGCCAGGUAUGGUCACUUAAACUUAAAGGCUGCCUCAUGCUGGGGACAGUGACACCAUACUAGGGUUGACCAGCCAGAAACUGGGCGGAGGGCCUUGUGGACAACGCCAAUAUACAACUUCCCUAAAAGGUCUACCUGGAAUCCCAUGACGAUAUUCUGACAACUCAGAUGCAUACAGAACGUCAAAUAUCAACAGCAGUAAUAUUAGUAAUUUUCACAAUUUCAGAGGCAUUCACAUAAAAUGAGAAGUCUCAACAGCAGAGGUAACAUACCUCUUGGGAGAAUGUGGGAGGGGCCGAAAGAGGGAGGAAACAUCAACCUCCACGAAUCUUCCAUGCUGGAAUCCACUCUGGCUGAGAGAUGUGCGCAUCACCAGCAAGAACCACGAGUCAGAUUAUCAGCCAAGCAAGACGACCACCCAGAGGCAACCCAGAAACUAACUCCUUACCUUGAAACCUGAGACCGUGAGCCAUGUAGCCCUGGCUGCUCUUCAACCCAGGGGCCCCUUCCCAAUAAAGUCUUUUGCUGUGUCAGCCUGUUUGUCCCCUCUGACAACUCAUUUCCGAGAGCCUGCUCUGGGGCCUUGGAAGGCCCUGCGACGCCUGCACCAAAGCCUCCUCACAGCACUGCAGUCUCCCGGGCCAACAGAUUUGUUCUUCAAACACAAACGCCUGCCCCCAGGGCCUCUGCUUGCAUUCUUCCUGCCUAACAGGCCCGACGCCACCGAUCUCUAGUUUAACACCCUGAUUACUCCUUCACUGUACUUAAAGCUGAGCAUGUUACUUCAUUUCCGUCCAUUGUCUCCACUAGAGCGUAACCUCUCUAAGAAAGCCUCCCUUAUUAGCACUUCUCACCAUGUAGCUUGGAACAGAGGGGUGUGAGGACUGCGUGCUGAGUGAAUGAGUAAGAUUUCAGCUAGAAACCAAAUGGAAAAUGCUGAGAUGGAAGCUGAUUCUGUGGCCCAGCAUCAACUGCCCUUUCUCCAGGCCCCUGGGCCCCGACCAUGUCCAGGACAAGUCCAUCCCCAUCCAUUUGGCAGGAGGAGCAGCGCCAGCCCUUGCGGAGACUCACCUCGGGCAAGUCUUAUGUGUGGUGUCUGGUCCUCACACCAGCCUUCCAUGCAGGAACUGUGUAUCCCCGUUUUGCAGAUGGGAAAACUGAGGCUCACAGAGCUGACAUGA